UCUAUGGUCCUCUUACUGACCUUUCCUGAUUUUUGCAAUAUUCAGUUUGGAAGAAAAGUCAAAGCAGUACUACUAUUGGGUUUGAACUGUAGUUAUAUUAGUAAAAAUGACUUGGAGCUCACCCUUCCAAGAAAGAUCAUCCUAACUGCCCAUCAUGGGUACAGCAGAGGCUCUGCCUGAAAAAGCAAAAUGUCUUACUUUAAAGAUCACAAGGCAAGAUUUUCUUCAAGAAGCAAACACUCUCAUUGCUCAACAUUAUGAGAAAAUAA